UUGCAACCCUAAAUUAAAUACGAAACACGCGAAAACAUACCGAACUCGAUUAGUGACCGUAUUUAAGCUUUAUGUAGUGAUGUAAUUGCGAGAUGAAGUGGAGUUGUGC
rnacentral:rRNA from 1 species